rnacentral:rRNA from 1 species
GAUGAACGCUGGCGGCGUGCCUAAUACAUGCAAGUCGAGCGAACGGACGAGAAGCUUGCUUCUCUGAUGUUAGCGGCGGACGGGUGAGUAACACGUGGAUAACCUACCUAUAAGACUGGGAUAACUUCGGGAAACCGGAGCUAAUACCGGAUAAUAUUUUGAACCGCAUGGUUCAAAAGUGAAAGACGGUCUUGCUGUCACUUAUAGAUGGAUCCGCGCUGCAUUAGCUAGUUGGUAAGGUAACGGCUUACCAAGGCAACGAUGCAUAGCCGACCUGAGAGGGAGAUUCGCCACACUGGAACUGAGACACGGUCCCGACUCCUACGGGAGGCCACGGUAGGGAAUCUUCCGCAAUGGGCGAAAGCCUAACGGAGGAACGCCGCGGGAGUGAUGAAGGUCUUCGGAUCGUAAAACUCUGUUAUUAGGGAAGAACAUAUGUGUAAGUAACUGGGCACAUCUUGACGGUACCUAAUCAGAAAGCCACGGCUAACUACGUG